rnacentral:rRNA from 1 species
GAUGAACGCUGGCGGCGUGCCUAAUACAUGCAAGUCGAGCGAAUGGAUUAAGAGCUUGCUCUUAUGAAGUUAGCGGCGGACGGGUGAGUAACACGUGGGUAACCUGCCCAUAAGACUGGGAUAACUCCGGGAAACCGGGGCUAAUACCGGAUAACAUUUUGAACCGCAUGGUUCGAAAUUGAAAGGCGGCUUCGGCUGUCACUUAUGGAUGGACCCGCGUCGCAUUAGCUAGUUGGUGAGGUAACGGCUCACCAAGGCAACGAUGCGUAGCCAACAUGAGGGGGUGAUCGGCCACACUGGGACUGAGACACGGCCCAGACUCCUCCGGGAGGCAGCAGUAGGGAAUCUUCCGCAAUGGACGAAAGUCUGACGGGGCAACGCCGCGUGAGUGAUGAAGGCUUUCGGGUCGUAAAACUCUGUUGUUAGGGAAGAACAAGUGCUAGUUGAAUAAGCUGGCACCUUGACGGUACCUAACCAGAAAGCCACGGCUAACUACGUGCCAGCCGCCGCCGUAA